rnacentral:rRNA from 1 species
CGUAGGCGGAUAUUUAAGUGAGAUGUGAAAUUCCCGAGCUUAACUUGGGAGCUGCAUUUCAAACUGGGUAUCUAGAGUGUGGGAGAGGAGAAUGGAAUUCCCUAGUGUAGCGGUGAAAUGCGUAGAGAUUAGGAAGAACACCAGUGGCGAAGGCGAUUCUCUGGACCAUAACUGACGCUGAGGCAUGAAAGCGUGGGUAGCAAACAGGAUUAGAUACCCUGGUAGUCCACGCCGUAAACGAUGAGUACUAGGUGUAGGGGGGUCCAACCCUCUGUGCCGCAGUUAACACAAUAAGUACUCCGCCUGGGAAGUACGAUCGCAAGAUUAAAACUCAAAGGAAUUGACGGGGGCCCGCACAAGCAGCGGAGCAUGUGGUUUAAUUCGAAGCAACGCGAAGAACCUUACCUGGACUUGACAUCCCCUGAAUAGUGCAGAGAUGCAUGAAGCCCUUCGGGGCAGGGAGACAGGUGGUGCAUGGUUGUCGUCAGCUCGUGUCGUGAGAUGUUAGGUUAAGUCCUGCAACGAGCGCAACCCUUAUCAUUAGUUGCUACCAUUAAGUUGAGCACUCUAGUGAGACUGCCCGGGUUGACCGGGAGGAAGGUGGGGAUGACGUCAAAUCAUCAUGCCCCUUAUGUCCAGGGCUACACACGUGCUACAAUGGUGAGUACAGAGAGAUGCAAGACCGCGAGGUGGAGCUAAACUCAAAAACUCAUCCCAGUUCGGAUUGUAGGCUGCAACUCGCCUACAUGAAGCCGGAGUUGCUAGUAAUCGCGAAUCAGAAUGUCGCGGUGAAUACGUUCCCGGGCCUUGUACACACCGCCCGUCACACCAUGAGAGCUGGCAAUACCCGAAGUCCGUGAGGUAACCUGUAAAGGAGCCAGCGGCCGAAGGUAGGGUUAGUGAUUGGGGUG